GGGACGAUGCAGAAGCUCUCUCCCUUCCUCGGCACGGUCGGCAACGACGCAGACUCUGUUGCCUUCCUCCGCACCAUCCGGGAGGCAAACGCUUCCCUCAGAUCGAAGACCUGAACCUCUGUGCUUGAUGACAGUAUCACCGAGCUUCUUCCGUAAUAAGAGGUGUUGGAACAUCUUCCAUUUGCCUGAUUCCUAAGUAGAAGCAGUGUUUGCCUCAUCUAUGAUGAAACUAGAUGAUUUGUUUAAUGAUGUACUGGUUGCACAAGUUGAUGGCUUACGUAGUCUGUACUGAACUGCACUAGCUUGUUCUAAGAUGUCAAAUAUUUAUUGUUGCUAUAUGCUAAUUUGCAGGUACAAUCCAUAUGAAAAUAAUGCUAAUAUGUUGUGUUAACCUUGCUGAUGUAUUGGUUUUUUUAAUACAUGAACAUACUUUUUGAUCAGUUGUACUUGACGGCAUCGAUAGACCACUCCUCUAGAAGCAAAAUACUUUGGUUGAGAUGGUCGGUCGGAAUCUGGGAUAGGAUGAGUAUGAACAUGAGGAAUGGCCUUGAGCUUGGUGAGCACGUAGUGUCGUGGUCCGACCAGGCGAAGGAGGGGAGAAGAAAAGGAGAGGCACGAGGAGGGCUAGAAGAUGAGGACAUACAGUUGUGGCUAACUGAUGUGCCGUGCCGAGGCCGAGGCGGUGGCGCAUAGUGGGUGGGUGGUCCACAACCAAAUUCCAUUGGUAUGUGCCAUUAAAUUUGUUGUGACUAUCCAAAUCGUAAUCAAUCGUACUCAUCGACCCAUGGAUGCACUAUGGAGCAGUCAGUGCACAUA